GGUAGGCGCUGGCCGAUGUAAACGCCACGUCCUGUGGCGACAUCGGCACUAGCACGUCCUGUGCG
rnacentral:sRNA from 1 species